AAAUUGAAGAGUUUGAUCAUGGCUCAGAUUGAACGCUGGCGGCAGGCCUAACACAUGCAAGUCGAACGGUAACAGGAAGCAGCUUGCUGCUUUGCUGACGAGUGGCGGACGGGUGAGUAAUGUCUGGGAAACUGCCUGAUGGAGGGGGAUAACUACUGGAAACGGUAGCUAAUACCGCAUAAUGUCGCAAGACCAAAGAGGGGGACCUUCGGGCCUCUUGCCAUCGGAUGUGCCCAGAUGGGAUUAGCUAGUAGGUGGGGUAACGGCUCACCUAGGCGACGAUCCCUAGCUGGUCUGAGAGGAUGACCAGCCACACUGGAACUGAGACACGGUCCAGACUCCUACGGGAGGCAGCAGUGGGGAAUAUUGCACAAUGGGCGCAAGCCUGAUGCAGCCAUGCCGCGUGUAUGAAGAAGGCCUUCGGGUUGUAAAGUACUUUCAGCGGGGAGGAAGGGAGUAAAGUUAAUACCUUUGCUCAUUGACGUUACCCGCAGAAGAAGCACCGGCUAACUCCGUGCCAGCAGCCGCGGUAAUACGGAGGGUGCAAGCGUUAAUCGGAAUUACUGGGCGUAAAGCGCACGCAGGCGGUUUGUUAAGUCAGAUGUGAAAUCCCCGGGCUCAACCUGGGAACUGCAUCUGAUACUGGCAAGCUUGAGUCUCGUAGAGGGGGGUAGAAUUCCAGGUGUAGCGGUGAAAUGCGUAGAGAUCUGGAGGAAUACCGGUGGCGAAGGCGGCCCCCUGGACGAAGACUGACGCUCAGGUGCGAAAGCGUGGGGAGCAAACAGGAUUAGAUACCCUGGUAGUCCACGCCGUAAACGAUGUCGACUUGGAGGUUGUGCCCUUGAGGCGUGGCUUCCGGAGCUAACGCGUUAAGUCGACCGCCUGGGGAGUACGGCCGCAAGGUUAAAACUCAAAUGAAUUGACGGGGGCCCGCACAAGCGGUGGAGCAUGUGGUUUAAUUCGAUGCAACGCGAAGAACCUUACCUGGUCUUGACAUCCACGGAAGUUUUCAGAGAUGAGAAUGUGCCUUCGGGAACCGUGAGACAGGUGCUGCAUGGCUGUCGUCAGCUCGUGUUGUGAAAUGUUGGGUUAAGUCCCGCAACGAGCGCAACCCUUAUCCUUUGUUGCCAGCGGUCCGGCCGGGAACUCAAAGGAGACUGCCAGUGAUAAACUGGAGGAAGGUGGGGAUGACGUCAAGUCAUCAUGGCCCUUACGACCAGGGCUACACACGUGCUACAAUGGCGCAUACAAAGAGAAGCGACCUCGCGAGAGCAAGCGGACCUCAUAAAGUGCGUCGUAGUCCGGAUUGGAGUCUGCAACUCGACUCCAUGAAGUCGGAAUCGCUAGUAAUCGUGGAUCAGAAUGCCACGGUGAAUACGUUCCCGGGCCUUGUACACACCGCCCGUCACACCAUGGGAGUGGGUUGCAAAAGAAGUAGGUAGCUUAACCUUCGGGAGGGCGCUUACCACUUUGUGAUUCAUGACUGGGGUGAAGUCGUAACAAGGUAACCGUAGGGGAACCUGCGGUUGGAUCACCUCCUUACCUUAAAGAA
rnacentral:rRNA from 1 species